CGGAGUACACAUCCUGGUAAUCCGUCUGGCCCUGUGGCCUUGUGAAUGUUGACCUGUUUGAAAGUUUUUCUCACAUCGGCUGCGGAGAGCAUGAUCACACAGUCGUCCGGAACAGCUGAUGCUCUCAUGCAUGUUUCAGUAUUACUUUCAUUGAAGCGAGCAGAGAAGUUAUUUAGCUCAUCUGGUAGGCUCGUGUCACUGGGAAGCUCUCGGCUGUGCUUCCCUUUGUAGUCUGUAAUAGUUUGCAAGCCCUGCCACAUCUGACGAGCGUCGGCUCCAGUGUAGUACGAUUCGAUCUUACUCCUGUAUUGAUGCUUUGCCUGUUUGAUGGUUAGUCGGAGAGCAUAGCGGGAUUUCUUCUAAACUUCUGGGUUAGAGUCCCGCUCCUUGAAAGGGGCAGCUCUACCCUUUAGAAUAGUGUGAAUGUUGCCUGUAAUCCAUGGCUUCUGGUUGGGGAAUGUACGUACAGUCACUGUGGGGAUGACGUCCUUGAUCCACUUAUUGAUAAAGCCUAUGACUGAUGUGGUGAACUCCUCAAUGCCAUCGGAAGAAUCCCGGAACAUAAUCCAGUCUGUGCUAGCAAAGCAGUCCUGUAGUUUAGCAUCUGCUUCAUCUGACCACUUUUUUAUAGACCGAGUCACUGGUGCUUCCUGCUUUAAUUUUUGCUUGUAAGCAGGAAUCAGGAGGAUAGAAUUAGAUUUGCCAAAUGGAGGGCGAGGGAGAGCGUUGUACGCAUCUUUGUUUGUGGAGCAAAGGUGGUCUAGAUUUUUUUCCCUCUGGUUGCACAUUUAACAUGCUGAUAGAAAUGAGGUAAAACUGAUUUAAGUGUUCCUGCAUUAAAGUCCCCAGCCACUAGGAGUGCCACUUCUGGAUGAGCGCUUUCCUGUUUGCUUAUUGAGCGUGGUUUUAGUGCCAACAUCGGUCUGUGUUUUGGUAUGUAGACAGCUAUGGCAAAUAAAGAUGAAAACUCUCAAGGUAGAUAGUGUGGUCAUGAGAUACUCUACCUCAGGCAAAACCUAGAGACUUCCUUAGACAUUGUCCACCAGCUGUUGUUCACAUAUAUGCAUAGGCCCCGCCCCAUGUCUUACCAGAGGCUGCUGUUCUGUCCUGCUGAUGGAGUGUAUAACCUGCCAGCUGUAUGUUCUUAAUGUCGUCGUUCAGCCACGGCUCAGUGAAACAUAAGAUUUUACCGUUUUUAAUGUCCCGUUGGUAGGAUAUACAUGAUUUCAGUUCGUCCCAUUUAUUUUCCAGCAAUUGAACAUUAGCUAGCAGGAUGGAAGGUAAGGGCAGAUUAUCCACUCGUCGCCUGAUCCUCACAAGGCACCCGGAUCUUUUUCCACUAAAUUUCCAUUUCCUUCUCCAGCGAAUCCCGGGGAUCUCGGCCUGGUCGGGUGUUUGUUGUAGUAUAUCCCUCCUCUCUGAAGAAGAAGAAGAACUCUUCGUCCAGUUUGAGACACGGAAAGCUGUGACGGCCUGUAUGCAGAUGAAGAGCCGUGGUUCUCAGUCUGGUCCUGGGAACUCAAAGGGGUGUACAUGUUUGUUUUUUGCUUUAGCUUCAAGUGGUAUUUAUGUAUUCAUUUGUGAUGCUAUCCUUGAUACGAUCCUGCAUUUGUCACAUGCUAUACAUGCACAUGUGUGUGCUCAUGCAUCUAUCUAUCCAAUGUUAUCAUGAUUUGUUUUAAGAUAUAUUAUAGUGUAGUAAUCCACAAUAACCUGGUGAUGUAAAAGUCUAAUAAUUACAUUAUCUUCCAUAUUCCUACAGAUAUCUUGCAACUGGAGAUUCCAUCAAAACGAUUGCCUACAGUUACCGUGUAGGGCACUGCACGGUUGGGUGACCAGGACCAUCUGAGACUGCCUCGUGGGGGAAUUCACAUUGCAAUAAGAAGAAUAGGCAAGAGGACCAACCAUGGAGAAUGAACCAUGAAUUAUAACCACGCUGCAUUUUGGUCCGCCUCUCCUUCGACGGAAGAAUCCCGUGACAUCGGCUGUAUCUGUGACCCUCUCCCACUUCUGAACUGCCUGACACAUAGAGAGCACAGCAUGAUCAGAGGUAUCUUUUGAUGUGAGAGGAUGACAACUCCCAACCCUCGGGCCAACGGUGGGGGCCCAAUGCUUGGGUAGGAGACCGCGCUAGAGACACUUAUGUAAUUGUGAUGACCUUAGAGACUAUGGAGUUUAGUUGCACUGCAUUUCAUUAAUCAUUAUGCUGUCUUCUCUGUUCUUAUCUCUUUCCCUUUCUGUCUUUUACACUAGUUCUCAUACCUCUCUCCCCACCUCUUUCUUCCUCUGUUUUUAUGAUGCACACCAGAUGUGCAUUGAAGUACAGAUUGAACUUGUUUUUAUAAUAUUACAAUUAUAGUAUUCAUAAUGUAUGUAUUUAUAUCACUUGGAUAAUGAACUUCUUUCAGUAAAACU